ACUGUGGGUAGCGGAGAAAUUCCAAUCGAACCCGGAGAUAGCUGGUUCUCCCCGAAAUAGUUUUAGGACUAGCCUCAAGUUAGAUACCUGGAGGUAAAGCACUGAAUAGCCUAGCGGCCGAGAGGUUAGCGAAGCUUAUCAAACUCAGAAUGCCAGAGUAUUGAUGCUUGGGAGUCAGACAGUGUCAGAUAAAUGUCAUUGUCAAAAGGGAAACAGCCCAGAUCUACAGCUAAGGUCCCAAAGUCAGGUUAAGUGGAAAACGAUGUGAAGAUACGCAGACAACCAGGAUGUUGGCUCAGAAGCAGCCACUCAUUCAAAGAGUGCGUAAUAGCUCACUGGUCGAGCGUCUUUGCGCGGAGAAUUUAACGGGGCUAAACCUGACACCGAAGCUUAGGCAAUACAGCAAUGUAUUGGGUAGGGGAGCGUUGUAUACGCGGUGAAACAGUAGCGCAAGCGGCUGUGGAGUGUAUAGAAGUGAGAAUGCCGGAAUGAGUAGCGCGAAUGCAGUGAGAAUCUGCAUGGCCGAAAGCCUCAGGUUUCUGGAGGAAGGUUCGUCCGCUCCAGGUUAGUCGGGAGCUAAGGUGAGGCCGAAAGGCGUAGCCGAUGCACAGACGGUAGAGAUUCCGUCACCACCAAAAGAGUUAAGCACAGGGACACAUUUGAAGUCUCAGAGCCGGGUGUUGGUUCCGGUAGAGAUCGAGGGAAGUUAGUACCGAAGUCUGAGAUGGAAGAUGGCGAGAAAAGCUGUGUGUAUUUCUGAGGUGCCCGUACCGCAAACCGACACAGGUAGGUAGGAAGAAGAUUCUAAGGCCAACGGGAGAAGGGUUGUUAAGGAACUCGGCAAAUUGACCCCGUAACUUCGGGAGAAGGGGUGCUCCAGAGAUGGAGCCGCAGAGAAUCGGCCCAAGCAACUGUUUACCAAAAACACAGGUUUGUGCUAAAUCGAAAGAUGACGUAUACGAGCUGACGCCUGCCCGGUGCUGGAAGGUUAAGAGGAGAUGUGCAAGCAUUGAAUCGAAGCCCCAGUGAACGGCGGCCGUAACUAUAACGGUCCUAAGGUAGCGAAAUUCCUUGUCAGGUAAGUUCUGACCCGCAUGAAAGGCGUAAUGAUUUGGGCACUGUCUCAACAGCCCGCCCGGCGAAAUUGUAGUACCGGUGAAGAUGCCGGUUACCCGCGACAAGACGGAAAGACCCCAUGGAGCUUUACUGUAGCCUAAUAUUGGGUUUCGAUGUUGCAUGCACAGGAUAGAUGGGACUCUGGGAAACCAAGGCUUUGGCUUUGGCGGAGAGGCCGUUGGGAUACCAUCCUUGCGAUAUUGGAAUUCUAACCUGCGGCUCUGAAUCGAGUCGGGGGACAUUGUUAGGUGGGCAGUUUGACUGGGGCGGUCGCCUCCUAAAGAGUAACGGAGGCGUUCAAAGGUUCGCUCAGCUUGAACGGAAAUCAAGCAAAAGAGUGCAAACGCAGAAGCGAGCCUAACUGCGAGACUGACGGGUCGAGCAGUAACGAAAGUUGGAGUUAGUGAUCCGGUGGUAUGUGAGUGGAAAUGCCAUCGCUCAACGGAUAAAAGUUACCCUGGGGAUAACAGGCUGAUCUCCCCCAAGAGUCCACAUCGACGGGGAGGUUUGGCACCUCGAUGUCGGCUCAUCGCAUCCUGGGGCUGUAUUCGGUCCCAAGGGUUUGGCUGUUCGCCAAUUAAAGCGGUACGCGAGCUGGGUUCAGAACGUCGUGAGACAGUUCGGUCCCUAUCUGUCGUGGGCGCAGGAUAUUUGAUGGGAGCUGUCCCUAGUACGAGAGGACCGGGACGGACGUACCUCUGGCGCACCAGUUGUUCCGCCAGGAGCAUAGCUGGGCAACUACGUACGGAUCGGAUAAACGCUGAAAGCAUCUAAGCGUGAAGCCGACCCAAAGAUAAGAUAUCCCACUGAUUGAAUCAGGUAAGAUCCCUUGU
rnacentral:rRNA from 1 species